CUGAGUACUUCCACGUGGUGCCCGGCAGCUGAUGGAUCUAUAUCGAACUUUCUACCUGGGCCGUGUAGCCUCAUUCAUCAUAUCUUCACAUGUUGCUAUCGUGGUCUUUGGAACAAAGGAGCAAUCUCUUUUCAGGUUAAGGGUAAUCGUUCGUGGAAUGUGAAGAGGAAGUGGCGAUACGGGGCAUGAAUGAUUCGUGUACUGUGGAGGUUAUGGACGCCUCAAUUCUGCAUAUAUCCAAGCACCAAAAGGAGAGGGUCUUAUUUUCAUUGGUCUAUCUUUAUUCCUACAAAACACCUGUUGGUGUCGAUGAUCUUGCUUGAGCUCAUGCCAAAUGUCCGAUUGUACAAAUGGUUAAGAUUGAGAUGUGAUUGUUCACCGCCUAGUUAAAUCUGUUUUGCGAAAUUGCAUUGAUCUAUCGUGAAUUUUCCCAGAAUCACCUCAGUUUGAUAAAGUUAUUAGUCUCGUCUGCAUAUUAUAUGAAACUGUUACCACAAAAAAUAUGUAGACAAUCUAGCAAAAAGACUGUUUUGCUCGGUACUGACAGAU